CAGCAGCCGCGGUAAUACCGGCGGCCCGAGUGGCGGCCACUAUUAUUGGGCCUAAAGCGUCCGUAGCCGGGCUGGUAAGUCCUCCGGGAAAUCUGGUCGCUUAACGAUCAGACUUCCGGAGGAUACUGCUGGCCUAGGGACCGGGAGAGGCCGAGGGUAUUCCCGGGGUAGGGGUGAAAUCCUGUAAUCCCGGGAGGACCACCUGUGGCGAAGGCGCUCGGCUGGAACGGGUCCGACGGUGAGGGACGAAGGCCAGGGGAGCGAACCGGAUUAGAUACCCGGGUAGUCCUGGCUGUAAACGAUGCGGACUAGGUGUCGGGCAAGCUAAGGGCUUGUCCGGUGCCGCAGGGAAGCCGUUAAGUCCGCCGCCUGGGGAGUACGGCCGCAAGGCUGAAACUUAAAGGAAUUGGCGGG
rnacentral:rRNA from 1 species